CAGAACUUACCUGCUAUUUGGGAAUUAUUCCACACGCCACUGCCGCCGGGAACCUUUUUUUUCUGCCCACGUAGAAAUCGUGUGUCUUAUGCACCUUGUAAUGUCUCACUUCCACCCCCUAAACGCAGCGACCGUAGUUAAUUUUAUAUUAUUGUUAUUAGCAGACAUGCCUCCCCUUGAACUAUACCGUAAGCAGUCUGAAGGCCCACUCUGCCUUUCUUGCACUUGCUGUGCUGUGCCGUCAACAUUGCCGGGGAGCAGAGAAGCCCACAUUUCUUGAAAACAGUGGGCGGCUUUAUGUCUCCUGACCCGGAUUCCUAAGAGGAUCAGGUUCUAGGGGGAGCUGCGAUUUAGUUUGGUGACUGCACCACUGAGAUGCUCCCUGGGGAAUUCUGGAGAGGACAGGGAAGGCUGUAAAUGGGUGAACAGUGCGCUGCUGUUCAGAAACAGGCAGGAGGCAGAGGAGGUGGGAGAGAGUCCAGCAUGGAGCGUAAACGGGAUGAUUUGCCAAGGGGAGGCUGUGAUCGCCCGGAGUCAGCAGGGGCUCGGUGAGAAAACUCGGGCUGACCGAGUUUCUCUGGCUGCCAGUGUUACGGUCGUGGCACACCAGAGAAAUGCAAAGAGGAGGGAGUCUCCAGGACCUGGUUCAAGUGCUGGCAGUGGUUCUUCUGACCCUCCCGAGACAAAGUGUAAAAAGGUGGGUUGGAUGACAAGCAGGACGAGGUGGUGAAUCCACAGCUGCCUGAAUAAAUCCGCCCACCGGCUUGCAGAGCUGCAGAUGGAUGGCUAGAUGUCAAUGCGCAGAGGGGUUGGUCUUUUAAGAGGUGUUCCUCAGCACUCUCUUCUUGUGCCUGAAUGGGCCCGGAGUCUUGUCAGUGGCUUGAAGCCGGUGUGGAAGGAAGAGAAAACUCUGUGAUGGAAUUGUCCAAACGUGGGGUAAGCUGCUUCUGGAUGUGGUGAAACCCUCUUUCCUGGAGAAUUCCGAUCAUGAAUGGUGGCUGUCUGUAGACUUUGGGUAUCGAUGACCUUGUCAACUUUAAGAUUCUAUGUUCUGUCGUGCUGGGGCCAAGUCUUUGAGGAAGGAGCCGCUCUAUGUGUUCGGAAGAAAAAAGAACACUUAAGCUGCGGAGGGCUGAUCAUACUGGCCUAGCACCUGGGAGGAAACAAACGUACUGUGAGGCCAGUUGGCUGGAGAGUUUCGCAUUGAACUAAGGCUCACACUGGGGAGUCUCCUGGUUGCUCCCGAGGGCAGUGUCGUAGGUUAUUCAUGACAGUCCCCAGCACACAGUAGACACUCAACAAAUGCUAAUGGAGGCAGUCUAGAGGUGGCAAUAACCACAGUCAGCACUAACUUAAGUCCGUUUCAAACAUUUGCUAAUUGUAUUUGCUUUAAAAAAAAAAAAAGUAAUGUUUACUUUUGAGGGGAGGAGGGGCAGAAAGAGAAGGAGACAGAGGAUUCAAAGUGGGUUCUGCGCUGACAACA